rnacentral:rRNA from 1 species
UACGUAGGGUGCGAGCGUUGUCCGGAAUUAUUGGGCGUAAAGAGCUCGUAGGCGGUUUGUUGCGUCGGCCGUGAAAACUCAGGGCUUAACUCUGAGCCUGCGGUCGAUACGGGCAGACUUGAGUUCGGUAGGGGAGACUGGAAUUCCUGGUGUAGCGGUGAAAUGCGCAGAUAUCAGGAGGAACACCGGUGGCGAAGGCGGGUCUCUGGGACGGUACUGACGCUGAGACGCGAAAGCGUGGGGAGCGAACAGG